GUUACGCGCAAAGGGGAGUAACUUCAUUGCCGGUCGAUCGUCAUUACGAUGUGUGCAAAACCACAUCCGGUCACCGGGCAGCCAUAAAGGAAUGCGUCAGCGUAUUCCUUUAUUGUUGUAAGUGAGACCUUGCCGAAUGG
rnacentral:misc_RNA from 2 species